rnacentral:rRNA from 1 species
UCGAGAAUUUUUCACAAUGGGGGAAACCCUGAUGGAGCGACGCCGCGUGGAGGAUGAAGGCCCUCGGGUCGUAAACUCCUGUCAUGCGGGAACAAGAAAGUGAUAGUACCGCAAGAGGAAGAGACGGCUAACUCUGUGCCAGCAGCCGCGGUAAUACAGAGGUCUCAAGCGUUAUUCGGAUUCAUUGGGCGUAAAGGGUGCGUAGGUGGCGAUGUAAGUCUGACGUCAAAUUUUGGGGCUUAACCCCAACAAGCGUUGGAUACUGCGUUGCUUGAGGAUUGUAGAGGAGAGUGGAAUUCACGGUGUAGCAGUGAAAUGCGUAGAUAUCGUGAGGAAGACCAGUUGCGAAGGCGACUCUCUGGGCAAUUCCUGACACUGAGGCACGAAGGCCAGGGGAGCAAACGGGAUUAGAUACCCCCGUAGUCC